rnacentral:rRNA from 1 species
UACGUAGGGUGCAAGCGUUAUCCGGAAUGAUUGGGCGUAAAGCGUCCGCAGGUGGCUAUGUAAGUCUGCUGUUAAAGAGUCUAGCUUAACUAGAUAAAGGCAGUGGAAACUACAAGGCUAGAGUGCGUUCGGGGCAGAGGGAAUUCCUGGUGUAGCGGUGAAAUGCGUAGAUAUCAGGAAGAACACCGGUGGCGAAGGCGCUCUGCUAGGCCAAAACUGACACUGAGGGACGAAAGCUAGGGGAGCGAAUGGG